UACGAAGGGGGCUAGCGUUGCUCGGAAUCACUGGGCGUAAAGGGUGCGUAGGCGGGUCUUUAAGUCAGGGGUGAAAUCCUGGAGCUCAACUCCAGAACUGCCUUUGAUACUGAAGAUCUUGAGUUCGGGAGAGGGCGAGUGGAACUGCGAGUGUAGAGGUGAAAUUCGUAGAUAUUCGCAAGAACACCAGUGGCGAAGGCGGCUCACUGGCCCGAUACUGACGCUGAGGCACGAAAGCGUGGGGAGCAAACAGG
rnacentral:rRNA from 1 species